rnacentral:misc_RNA from 1 species
CCGAGUUUACAACUCCCAAACCCAAUGUGAACGUUACCAAACUGUUGCCUCGGCGGGGUCACGCCCCGGGUGCGUAAAAGCCCCGGAACCAGGCGCCCGCCGGAGGAACCAACCAAACUCUUUCUGUAGUCCCCUCGCGGACGUAUUUCUUACAGCUCUGAGCAAAAUUCAAAAUGAAUCA